GUCUAUGGCCACACCACCCUGGAUGUAGCUGAUCUUGUCUGAUCUCGGAAGCUAAGCAAGUUUGGGCCUGCUUAGUACUUGGAUGGGAGAAAAUAUAAUGUUGUAUGAU
ensembl:rRNA 5S_rRNA 5S ribosomal RNA